AUACGGAGGGUGCAAGCGUUGUUCGGAAUUACUGGGCGUAAAGCGCGCGCAGGCGGCUUGAUAAGUUGGAUGUGAAAGCCUACGGCUCAACCGUAGAACUGCAUCCAAAACUGUCAAGCUGGAGUCUGCGAGGGGAAGAUGGAAUUAGUUGUGUAGGGGUAAAAUCCGUAGAGAUAACUAGGAAUACCAAAAGCGAGGGCGAUCUUCUGGAACAGUACUGACGCUGAGGCGCGAAAGCGUGGGGAGCAAACAGUAUUAGAAACCCCUGUAGUCC
rnacentral:rRNA from 1 species